GGGGAGCGUUCUGUAAGCCUGUGAAGGUGUGCUGUGAGGCAUGCUGGAGGUAUCAGAAGUGCGAAUGCUGACAUAAGUAACGAUAAAGCGGGUGAAAAGCCCGCUCGCCGGAAGACCAAGGGUUCCUGUCCAACGUUAAUCGGGGCAGGGUGAGUCGACCCCUAAGGCGAGGCCGAAAGGCGUAGUCGAUGGGAAACAGGUUAAUAUUCCUGUACUUGGUGUUACUGCGAAGGGGGGACGGAGAAGGCUAUGUUGGCCGGGCGACGGUUGUCCCGGUUUAAGCGUGUAGGCUGGUUUUCCAGGCAAAUCCGGAAAAUCAAGGCUGAGGCGUGAUGACGAGGCACUACGGUGCUGAAGCAACAAAUGCCCUGCUUCCAGGAAAAGCCUCUAAGCAUCAGGUAACAUCAAAUCGUACCCCAAACCGACACAGGUGGUCAGGUAGAGAAUACCAAGGCGCUUGAGAGAACUCGGGUGAAGGAACUAGGCAAAAUGGUGCCGUAACUUCGGGAGAAGGCACGCUGAUAUGUAGGUGAAGUCCCUCGCGGAUGGAGCUGAAAUCAGUCGAAGAUACCAGCUGGCUGCAACUGUUUAUUAAAAACACAGCACUGUGCAAACACGAAAGUGGACGUAUACGGUGUGACGCCUGCCCGGUGCCGGAAGGUUAAUUGAUGGGGUCAGCGCAAGCGAAGCUCUUGAUCGAAGCCCCGGUAAACGGCGGCCGUAACUAUAACGGUCCUAAGGUAGCGAAAUUCCUUGUCGGGUAAGUUCCGACCUGCACGAAUGGCGUAAUGAUGGCCAGGCUGUCUCCACCCGAGACUCAGUGAAAUUGAACUCGCUGUGAAGAUGCAGUGUACCCGCGGCAAGACGGAAAGACCCCGUGAACCUUUACUAUAGCUUGACACUGAACAUUGAGCCUUGAUGUGUAGGAUAGGUGGGAGGCUUAGAAGUGUGGACGCCAGUCUGCAUGGAGCCGACCUUGAAAUACCACCCUUUAAUGUUUGAUGUUCUAACGUUGACCCGUAAUCCGGGUUGCGGACAGUGUCUGGUGGGUAGUUUGACUGGGGCGGUCUCCUCCUAAAGAGUAACGGAGGAGCACGAAGGUUGGCUAAUCCUGGUCGGACAUCAGGAGGUUAGUGCAAUGGCAUAAGCCAGCUUGACUGCGAGCGUGACGGCGCGAGCAGGUGCGAAAGCAGGUCAUAGUGAUCCGGUGGUUCUGAAUGGAAGGGCCAUCGCUCAACGGAUAAAAGGUACUCCGGGGAUAACAGGCUGAUACCGCCCAAGAGUUCAUAUCGACGGCGGUGUUUGGCACCUCGAUGUCGGCUCAUCACAUCCUGGGGCUGAAGUAGGUCCCAAGGGUAUGGCUGUUCGCCAUUUAAAGUGGUACGCGAGCUGGGUUUAGAACGUCGUGAGACAGUUCGGUCCCUAUCUGCCGUGGGCGCUGGAGAACUGAGGGGGGCUGCUCCUAGUACGAGAGGACCGGAGUGGACGCAUCACUGGUGUUCGGGUUGUCAUGCCAAUGGCACUGCCCGGUAGCUAAAUGCGGAAGAGAUAAGUGCUGAAAGCAUCUAAGCACGAAACUUGCCCCGAGAUGAGUUCUCCCUGACUCCUUGAGAGUCCUGAAGGAACGUUGAAGACGACGACGUUGAUAGGCCGGGUGUGUAAGCGCAGCGAUGCGUUGAGCUAACCGGUACUAAUGAACCGUGAG
rnacentral:rRNA from 1 species